rnacentral:rRNA from 1 species
GACGAACGCUGGCGGCGUGCCUAAUACAUGCAAGUCGAGCGAGUCUGCCUUGAAGAUCGGAGUGCUUGCACUCUGUGAAACAAGAUACAAGCUAGCGGCGGACGGGUGAGUAACACGUGGGUAACCUGCCCAAGAGAUCGGGAUAACACCUGGAAACAGAUGCUAAUACCGGAUAACAACAGAUGAUGCCUUUCAACUGUUUAAAAGAUGGUUCUGCUAUCACUCUUGGAUGGACCUGCGGUGCAUUAGCUAGUUGGUAGGGUAACGGCCUACCAAGGCGAUGAUGCAUAGCCGAGUUGAGAGACUGAUCGGCCACAUUGGGACUGAGACACGGCCCAAACUCCUACGGGAGGCAGCAGUAGGGAAUCUUCCACAAUGGACGCAAGUCUGAUGGAGCAACGCCGCGUGAGUGAAGAAGGGUUUCGGCUCGUAAAGCUCUGUUGUUGGUGAAGAAGGACAGGGGUAGUAACUGACCUUUGUCUGACGGUAAUCAAUUAGAAAGUCACGGCUAACUAAGUG